GACGAACGCUGGCGGCGUGCCUAAUACAUGCAAGUAGAACGCUGAAGGAGGAGCUUGCUUCUCUGGAUGAGUUGCGAACGGGUGAGUAACGCGUAGGUAACCUGCCUGGUAGCGGGGGAUAACUAUUGGAAACGAUAGCUAAUACCGCAUAAUAGUAGAUGUUGCAUGACAUUUGCUUAAAAGAUGCAAUUGCAUCACUACCAGAUGGACCUGCGUUGUAUUAGCUAGUUGGUGAGGUAAAGGCUCACCAAGGCAACGAUACAUAGCCGACCUGAAAGGGUGAUCGGCCACACGCGGACUGAGUAACGGCCGCGACUACUACGAGAGGAAGCAGUAGGGAAUCUUCCGCAAUGGCCGGAAGUAUGGACGAACAAAGCUGCGUGAGUGAAAGAGGUUCUCGGAUCGUAAAGCUAUGUUGUAAGAGAAGAAAGAGUGUGAGAGUGGAAAGUUCACUCUGUGACGGUAUCUUACCAGAAAGAGAAGGCUAAGUACGUG
rnacentral:rRNA from 1 species